UACGUAGGGUGCGAGCGUUAAUCGGAAUUACUGGGCGUAAAGUGUGCGCAGGCGGCCAUGCAAGUCGAGUGUGAAAGCCCCGGGCUUAACUUGGGAAUUGCGCUCGAAACUACGUGGCUGGAGUGUGGCAGAGGAAGGUGGAGUUCCACGUGUAGCGGUGAAAUGCGUAGAGAUGUGGAGGAACACCAAUGGCGAAGGCAGCCUUCUGGGCCAACACUGACGCUCAUGCACGAAAGCGUGGGGAGCAAACAGG
rnacentral:rRNA from 1 species